rnacentral:rRNA from 1 species
CCUACGGGAGGCAGCAGUGGGGAAUAUUGGGCAAUGGGCGCAAGCCUGACCCAGCAACGCCGCGUGAAGGAAGAAGGCUUUCGGGUUGUAAACUUCUUUUGUCAGGGACGAAGCAAGAGACUGUACCUGACGAAUAAGCCACGGCUAACUACGUGCCAGCAGCCGCGGUAAUACGUAGGGGGCAAGCGUUAUCCGGAUUCACUGGGUGUAAAGGGCGUGUAGGCGGGACUGCAAGUCAGAUGUGAAAACCACGGGCUCAACCUGUGGCCUGCAUUUGAAACUGUAGUUCUUGAGUACUGGAGAGGCAGACGGAAUUCGUAGUGUAGCGGUGAAAUGCGUAGAUAUUAGGAGGAACACCAGUGGCGAAGGCGGUCUGCUGGACAGGAACUGACGCUGAGGCGCGAAAGCGUGGGGAGCAAACAGGAUUAGAUACCCCUGUAGUC